AACUGCCUGCUUGGUGCGUAGCGUGUCCUUUUGGACCCACAUUUUUAUUUAGGGAAGUUAGUUUCCUUUCCUGUUUGCAGACCUCCCGCCCCUGCUUUGACAGACGGUGGAUGUUGGGAGCAGUAAUGGUCUGGAGCGGCAACCCACCUGCCAUUUCGUGCAGGUCAUAAUCGGAUGCGUUACGGCUAAAGCGGGUAUCC
rnacentral:other from 1 species